rnacentral:rRNA from 1 species
AUACCAGCACCCCGAGUUGUCGGGACGAUUAUUGGGCCUAAAGCAUCCGUAGCCUGUUCUGCAAGUCCUCCGUUAAAUCCACCUGCUUAACGGAUGGGCUGCGGGGGAUACUGCAGAGCUAGGAGGCGGGAGAGGCAAACGGUACUCAGUGGGUAGGGGUAAAAUCCUUUGAUCUACUGAAGACCACCAGUGGCGAAGGCGGUUUGCCAGAACGCGCUCGACGGUGAGGGAUGAAAGCUGGGGGAGCAAACCGGAUUAGAUACCCGGGUAGUCCCAGCUGUAAACGAUGCAGACUCGGUGAUGGGUUGGCCUCGAGCCAACCCAGUGCCGCAGGGAAGCCGUUAAGUCUGCGCCUGGGGAGUACGGUCGCAAGACUGAAACUUAAAUGAAUUGGCGGGG